rnacentral:rRNA from 1 species
UACUGCAAGUCGAGCGGACAGAUGGGAGCUUGCUCCCUGAUGUUAGCGGCGGACGGGUGAGUAACACGUGGGUAACCUGCCUGUAAGACUGGGAUAACUCCGGGAAACCGGGGCUAAUACCGGAUGCUUGUUUGAACCGCAUGGUUCAAACAUAAAAGGUGGCUUCGGCUACCACUUACAGAUGGACCCGCGGCGCAUUAGCUAGUUGGUGAGGUAACGGCUCACCAAGGCAACGAUGCGUAGCCGACCUGAGAGGGUGAUCGGCCACACUGGGACUGAGACACGGCCCAGACUCCUACGGGAGGCAGCAGUAGGGAAUCUUCCGCAAUGGACGAAAGUCUGACGGAGCAACGCCGCGUGAGUGAUGAAGGUUUUCGGAUCGUAAAGCUCUGUUGUUAGGGAAGAACAAGUACCGUUCGAAUAGGGCGGUACCUUGACGGUACCUAACCAGAAAGCCACGGCUAACUACGUGCCAGCAGCCGCGGUAAUACGUAGGUGGCAAGCGUUGUCCGGAAUUAUUGGGCGUAAAGGGCUCGCAGGCGGUUUCUUAAGUCUGAUGUGAAAGCCCCCGGCUCAACCGGGGAGGGUCAUUGGAAACUGGGGAACUUGAGUGCAGAAGAGGAGAGUGGAAUUCCACGUGUAGCGGUGAAAUGCGUAGAGAUGUGGAGGAACACCAGUGGCGAAGGCGACUCUCUGGUCUGUAACUGACGCUGAGGAGCGAAAGCGUGGGGAGCGAACAGGAUUAGAUACCCUGGUAGUCCACGCCGUAAACGAUGAGUGCUAAGUG